AAACUUACAGGACCUCUCUAACAGCUGAAAUGGCAGAGGCAUUAAUUUGCACCCAGAAUUGGUUAAGGCCUUCUUUUACAUAUUUCAAAGACAUGAACCUCAUGGAAGAUUUUGAGCUUUCGGAAGAUAUUGUAACAGAGUUUCAAGAAAUGUCUGCAAGAGCAAGAGGAGGAUCCGGGAAUUCAGGUGUUUCAUCAUCACAUUCUCAGCCACAACCUUCUGGUUGUGCUUGAAAAUUCAGAUCAACUAUGUUUUUUGAUUUUUUUUGAAGUCAUACAUGACUUAAAUAUUACUACUCAAUGGCCUAGUAAAGAAUAAUUAUUUUGUCGCGUGGAUUUUGAAGAAGCUAGUUGGGCUAUUACGCAAAAGAAUCCAUCGUAUUUUGCUUCAAUUUUACUUUACCAGUGACAUUA